rnacentral:rRNA from 1 species
UACAGAGGGUGCAAGCGUUGUUCGGAAUUAUUGGGCGUAAAGCGCGUGUAGGCGGCUUUGUAAGUUGGGUGUGAAAGCCCUCGGCUUAACCGAGGAAGUGCGCCCAAAACUGCAUGGCUUGAGUACCGGAGAGGGUGGCGGAAUUCCCGGUGUAGCGGUGAAAUGCGCAGAUAUCGGGAAGAACACCCGUGGCGAAGGCGGUUCUCUGGGACGGUACUGACGCUGAGACGCGAAAGCGUGGGGAGCGAACAGG